rnacentral:lncRNA from 10 species
UGUGGAGUAUGCCAUCCAGAACCCAAUAGCUCCUGCUUCGAGGCUGCCCAAUGGGCCCAGAGCUCCUGGAAGGGUGGCUGCUUGGGCUGGCUGUGUGCAUUCAUGCUGAAGCAUUGCCUUUUUCUCCUUGAGUGCCUGCCAUUCAGAACCACUGGGAUGCAGAGGACACACACACACACCGGUGUUUCCAGCUGUGCCAGAGCCUGGAGCGUGUGAGCUCACAGAAGCCAGCCUUUGCCAACUCAGACCAGGUGAGAAGACUACAGCUGUCACCGGGAAGAAAGAGCCUGCCUAAAAAUCAGAGGGCAACGAAACUGAAAGGAAAGACACAGAAGUCUAAUGGCAUCAACUGAGUGCCUGGGCCCAGCUAUUCCUGAUGAUUUACUCCUGGAGUUUCCGACUUUAUACACCGACACAUUCUCUUUUUUCUUAAGUUAUUUAGACGCGGUUUUCAAGUCACUUGUGACUUCAAAACUCCUGACUUUUACAAGUUCCUGCUUGCCUCUAGUCCAGCCCCGACAUUGUACUCCUGUCUUCAACUGUGUGUACCCUAAGUCCUUGCCUUAAUUUUCUACCUAUUUCUCUUGUGCUUCCAAGUCUGUAGCCUUAUCUUUAGGGCCAGCCUAUCCCUUCCCUCUUUCUAGAAAUCAAAUAGGAGGCAACAGCACCUUUCAGAAAACAAGAAUGGAAUCUCAAAGUCCCAACCUCUUUAUACUUUUCCCAUGAUCAGUCUGCAACAUUAAGACAAGGGAAAGUUUGAGCAAGGCAAAUGGCAUGAUCUGGACGUGGCAGGAAAAAAAUGGGACAGACUCCGUUCCAGUGCUUUGAAAAUCUGUUGGUUGUAAGAUCUGGAGAAGGAACUCAAGUUCCAAUAAAUGUCACUGAACAAAUUGUACGAUGUAUGGAGCUGCCUAAUGUUUCAUCUGUUUGGAUGAAAUGGUUGUCUUUAAAUAAGCUAGGUGCAAAGUUUCUAAUAACCACUGUUUUUCAGCAUGUCUCAGAGCUCAUGUUGUUAAUCAAGCAAGGUUAGCUUAUUUUUAUUGAGUAAAGGAUGUGUUAAGAAAGGAAUGGUUUUGCAUUUUAAGCAAAAUGGAUGAAUAAUGAAUGAAUUUUAAGUAAAUAAAUAAAACCUUUAAGUGACUGUUUCUCUUUCAGAGAAGUCAUUGAUGGAAGCUAUGUACUGAUUAUGAUGAUGCUGUCAUUACUCUCAACAUUCCUUCAAUUCCUACUGUGAAAGGCAACCCUCUUUAGGUUGUACAAAUUCUAGUUUGGUGGCUAAUUAAGCCAUGAUACUAGUUUGAGAUUUUUUAAAAUCUUCAUUCUCAUCUCUCCCUCUCCUAGUGUUUGAGGACUGAUCAUUCCUGAUCUUAGUAACAGAGUAAUUCAUGUUGGCAGGUGUCAUUUAAGCCCUCGUAGCUUGUAACUUCCUGACACAAUUUGGAGUUAGCCCAUUCUGGCAUUCUCCUGCUGGAUAUCACCUACAUUCUUAAAUCUUAAUGAUGUAAAAUUAUUCUACAUUUUUAAUGAUCCGUUGGAGCUGUUUCCUCCAAACCAUUAGCAAUACAAGAGGUAUAUAGGAAUUUGACUUAUUUACAAACUCUGUACUAUUCUUUCUAAACAGUUUCCAAGGAAUACAAAUGCACUACAUAUUGGUUACUAAAAACUGUUUGGGAAUUGGAUUCUUUAAAUAUUAUGAAGAAAUAGCUGAUUUUCUGCAAGUUUGACUUUUUCUCAAAAUGAAAGCAUGUGCACACACACACAGAGGUGCAAAAGCUCCCCAUCAGACAGAUGCAAGGCACCACUCCAUUAAGGCAGGCAGUGACUUGCUAAUGAUCUAUAUCAGCCCUCACCUAUAUGGUACCUACUAGCCACAUUUGUGACUAUCUAAAUUUAAGCUUACAUGAAUUCAAAUUGAAUACAAUUGAAAAUUCACUUCCUCAGCCUCACUAGGCACAUUU